rnacentral:rRNA from 1 species
CAUGCAAGUCGAACGGAGCUUAGAGAGCUUGCUUUUUAAGCUUAGUGGCGAACGGGUGAGUAACGCGUGAGUAACCUGCCCUAGAGUGGGGGACAACAGUUGGAAACGACUGCUAAUACCGCAUAAGCCCACGGUGCCGCAUGGCACUGAGGGAAAAGGAUUUAUUCGCUUUAGGAUGGACUCGCGUCCAAUUAGCUAGUUGGUGAGGUAACGGCCCACCAAGGCGACGAUUGGUAGCCGGACUGAGAGGUUGAACGGCCACAUUGGGACUGAGACACGGCCCAGACUCCUACGGGAGGCAGCAGUGGGGGAUAUUGCACAAUGGGGGAAACCCUGAUGCAGCGACGCCGCGUGGAGGAAGAAGGUUUUCGGAUUGUAAACUCCUGUCGUUAGGGACGAUAAUGACGGUACCUAACAAGAAAGCACCGGCUAACUACGUGCCAGCAGCCGCGGUAAAACGUAGGGUGCAAGCGUUGUCCGGAAUUACUGGGUGUAAAGGGAGCGCAGGCGGGAAGACAAGUUGGAAGUGAAAACCGUGGGCUCAACCCAUGAAUUGCUUUCAAAACUGUUUUUCUUGAGUAGUGCAGAGGUAGAUGGAAUUCCCGGUGUAGCGGUGGAAUGCGUAGAUAUCGGGAGGAACACCAGUGGCGAAGGCGGUCUACUGGGCACCAACUGACGCUGAGGCUCGAAAGCAUGGGUAGCAAACAGGAUUAGAUACCCUGGUAGUCCACACCGUAAACGAUGAUUACUAGGUGUUGGAGGAUUGACCCCUUCAGUGCCGCAGUUAACACAAUAAGUAAUCCACCUGGGGAGUACGACCGCAAGGUUGAAACUCAAAGGAAUUGACGGGGGGCCCGCACAAGCAGUGG